rnacentral:rRNA from 1 species
UACGUAGGGGGCAAGCGUUGUCCGGAAUCAUUGGGCGUAAAGAGCGUGUAGGCGGCUCGGUAAGUCCGCUGUGAAAGUCCAGGGCUCAACCCUGGAAUGCCGGUGGAAACUGUCGAGCUAGAGUCCGGAAGAGGAGUGUGGAAUUCCUGGUGUAGCGGUGAAAUGCGCAGAUAUCAGGAGGAACACCAAUGGCGAAGGCAGCACUCUGGGACGUGACUGACGCUGAGACGCGAAAGCGUGGGGAGCAAACAGG